UUUAAAAUUGUUGCUUCUUACAUUCAGGCUACCAUGUGACAACAUUCGAAAGAGGAAAGCAAUCGAGAGGUAGUGCUGAAGCCUAGAAGAGUCUAUCUGGUUGUCCUUCUCUGCCUCAUUGCUAGCUGCUGCUCAAAUUGGCACCAGAAAUAGCAUGUUUUGAAAUCGGAAAUGGAGCUGAAGUUAGAAGAGAAGAAACGACUAGUAGCUGAAAUUGGACGAGUUAUUGAUUUCUGCUAAAAAAAACAAUCUUCAGUACGUCAAAUGCGGCUGACUAAGUUACAUAAAGGUCUCCAGGAAGUAAAGGAGUAUGGUGAAAGACUGAAAAGUUCUUAAGAGAAACUCCAGGUCAGUUCUCAAGUCUUUUAGUCAUAUAUCUAAGCUACAGUAUCAGUAACCUUUUUAUGCGUGCUUCAUACUAAAACAUACCUGAUAAUCUGACUAAAAAGAGUACCGACUUUGUUCC